UUUAUACACAUCCUAUGUACAUGCCACAUUACUAAAGAAAAUAUACAUCACCAAAGUUUGCUGAAGUCGGGUCUGGCUUUGGAUGCUGGUUCAGUGAUUGACUUCUACAACCUGCGCACGGAAACAACCGUACGCUGAGUAUGCAUAUACUCAGUGGUAUCACUAUAAUCCAAUUUAUAAUUGAAUACAUUAAAUCACACACAUACUUUUUAUUACAAUUAUCACUACUAAUAAACAAUUCAAUCAUUUAAUAUUAUCAAUUAAUUAUAUAUAUUUAUAAACAUCAUUCUUAUUUCUUUAUUUCAAAUUUCACCUUUUACAUAUACCAUAUCAUUUAAGUAGUAAACUUAUUUCAUUUACCCCUAUUAACUUGACUCGGACUCGACGGAUACACGGAUUCCAACCAAACACACCAGUAUACAGUAAUCAAUAACAGUAAUAGUAACAGUAUUCAACACACAAAGUGUUGAACCUGUAACAGUAACGGUAACAGUAUUCGACACACAAAGUGCCGAGUCAGUAACAGUAACAGUAUUCGACACACAAAGUGCCGAGUCAGUAACAGUAACAGUAACAGUAUUCGACACACAAAGUGCCGAAUCAGUAACAGUAACAAUAGUCGGCACAUAAGUGCCUGAUCAGUAAGCCGGCAAAUACCCCGUACACUUCCAUAUCCUAUGGCAUGCCAACUAUAUCCGACUAGCCCGACUAGUUAAUAGGGUAUUUAAUUCACUUUUCAGUAUAAAUUUCCAUCUUAAUUCAGUAUCAAUUAUAAUUCCUUAAUUCAAUCGGUUUCACAGUAUUACAGUAAUUCUUUACUUCAGUAAUUUCACAAUUCAAUGCAUUAUACAUAACAAUAUUCAGUAUUUUCACAAUUCACUCAGUAAUCAAAACAAUAUCCAAUAUCCCAUAAUUCGGUUCAGUAUCAGUUUCAAUUUCAUUACUACAUUAUAAAUUUAUUAUUUAUUACACACUUACCUUAAAAUACUUACCACACAUAAUUAGCAAAUUAAACACUUAAUAAUAAUAAAGUUUGAAUUAUAGUGAUACAAACCGUAAUUCUCGUGUCUAUUCCUCGUCUACUUUUUCCUUUCCUUUCCUCGUGGAUGCCUCGGGUGCAAUAUUAGCUAUGAAAAAAAAUAAUAAUUUAUACUAUUAAUUACAGCACUAAUUAUAAUAAAUAAUUAAAUUUCUAUUCAAUUUCUUCCUUAUUCUCAAUUUAAUCCUAAUUAAAUUCACUUACUUUCCUAAUUCAAUUCACACUCUAUUUCUAUUCAAACUUCAUCCAAACUCAAAUUUAACUAUCAAAAUUUCAGCAUAUUUUCCAAAUUUUGAAUUUUCCUCAAUUUAGUCCCUAAAACAUAAAACUUAUAGUUUCUUUUACAAUUUAAUCCCUUUUUCAAUUCUAACUUAAAAUUCAUGCUAUUUAAUCCCUAAUUCAUCUCUUUUGUUCAACAUAAACUAUACUUGAAAACCUAUGAACUUACAAAACAUCAACUUAAUCCCAUCAAAACUUUGUUUUAAAGCUUUUAAAACAUUAGAAUUAAGAGAAAAGGGCUAAUUUGACUUACCAAAUUAAAUUUCAAGCUUCAAAAACCCUAUUUUCCCUAUUUUCUUCUUUUUCUUCUUUCUCCCCUGUUUCUCCCCUGUUUCGUCUCUUCUAUUCUGUUUCUUU
rnacentral:lncRNA from 1 species